rfam:Veillonellaceae bacterium DNF00626 genomic scaffold Scaffold7, whole genome shotgun sequence.
AUCGAAGUAUCCUGUGUGAACUUCAGAUAACUAAAGAAAUAAGCUUUCAAAUUUUAUAUCGCUUGGAUUGCCAUAACCGAGACGAAUGC